GAUGAACGCUGGCGGCAGGCUUAACACAUGCAAGUCGAGCGGGCAUAGCAAUAUGUCAGCGGCAGACGGGUGAGUAACGCGUGGGAACGUACCUUUUGGUUCGGAACAACACAGGGAAACUUGUGCUAAUACCGGAUAAGCCCUUACGGGGAAAGAUUUAUCGCCGAAAGAUCGGCCCGCGUCUGAUUAGCUAGUUGGUGAGGUAAUGGCUCACCAAGGCGACGAUCAGUAGCUGGUCUGAGAGGAUGAUCAGCCACAUUGGGACUGAGACACGGCCCAAACUCCUACGGGAGGCAGCAGUGGGGAAUAUCGGACAAUGGGCGCAAGCCUGAUCCAGCCAUGCCGCGUGAGUGAUGAAGGCCCUAGGGUUGUAAAGCUCUUUUGUGCGGGAAGAUAAUGACGGUACCGCAAGAAUAAGCCCCGGCUAACUUCGUGCCAGCCGCCGCGGUAA
rnacentral:rRNA from 1 species